rnacentral:lncRNA from 1 species
AGUUUUUCUUAUGUAUGAGUUUUCUUCACUGAAUGAAGGAUACACAAUGUUCAUAUUUCCUUUCUGUGGCUGUAGUAGACACCAUGACCAAAGCAAGUCAGGUCUUCCAGCCAUGACCCAUGCCAGAAGCAUGAGAGACAGGCUGUGACACCUGCUGCAGAUGGAAGUAUGAAGGAAGCAGUGCUGGAGGGAGAAGUUUGACAUUUAACUCAGCUACAAGGAACUUGAGUGGCCUAUCAGUGGGAGUGCCUAUCACAACCUCUCUUUAAGUUCUCUCAGUACCAAGACGGCCUCCAGAUCCCUGUAGGAAUGACCCAACCAUAAAAAUGUACUCGUCUGGAAGCCAGAGUAUCAGCUUGCACCAGGUGAAGCAAAACCAGAACCUGCAAGCCUCAUGAACUUGGAAACCUACCAAAUCACUUCACUCGAUCAACCCAGUACUUGUAGGAUACUGUGCCUGGCCGUGAUGGUUAGCUCUUCUGUUCUCUGCCCAGCUAGCUGUCAGGCCUGUGGCCACCUGCCAGCUGGGCAAGGAUCUGGCUGGUCUAAGAUGGCUUCAGUGGUGGCAUUUCUGUGGCAGCUGGUCCUGGCCGGCAGCAGGUUGACACAUGCAAGAACUGUGAAGACAAAGACUGAGAUUGGCAAACAAAACAACUUUUGA